GAAAUAAUUAUUUUAAUAAGCUUCUAACUUAAUUAAUAAAUGAAUAAAAUCAUUUUUAUUUCU
rnacentral:tRNA from 1 species